rnacentral:rRNA from 1 species
UACGAGAGGCCCAAACGUUAUUCGGAUUCACUGGGCGUAAAGGGUGCGCAGGCGGUUGGGUGUGUCAGAUGUGAAAUCCCGAGGCUUAACCUCGGAACUGCGUCUGAAACUACUCGACUAGAGUACUGGAGAGGGUAACGGAAUUCACGGUGUAGCAGUGAAAUGCGUAGAUAUCGUGAGGAACACCAGAGGCGAAGGCGGUUACCUGGACAGUUACUGACGCUCAGGCACGAAAGCAUGGGGAGCAAAAGGG